GAAAAGAAACUAACAAGGAUUCCCCUAGUAACGGCGAGUGAAGCGGGAAGAGCUCAAAUUUGAAAUCUGGUAGCCUUCGGUUGCCCGAGUUGUAAUCUAGAGAAAUGUUUUCCGUGCCGGCCCAUGUACAAGUCCCUUGGAACAGGGCGUCAUAGAGGGUGAGAAUCCCGUCCUUGACAUGGACCCCCGGUGCUUUGUGAUACAUUUUCAACGAGUCGAGUUGUUUGGGAAUGCAGCUCAAAAUGGGUGGUGAAUUCCAUCUAAAGCUAAAUAUUGGCGAGAGACCGAUAGCGAACAAGUACCGUGAGGGAAAGAUGAAAAGCACUUUGGAAAGAGAGUUAAACAGUACGUGAAAUUGUUGAAAGGGAAACGAUUGAAGUCAGUCAUGCUCUUUGGUAUUUAUAUCAUUGAGUGGGGUCAACAUCAGUUUUGAUCGAUGGAUAAAGGCACUAGGAAUGUAGCACUCUCGGGUGAACUUAUAGCCUAGCGUCAUAUACAUUGAUUGGGACUGAGGAACGCAGCAUGCCUUUAUGGCCGGGAUUCGUCCACGUAC
rnacentral:rRNA from 1 species